rnacentral:rRNA from 1 species
AGUGAACGCUGGCGGUAGGCCUAAUACAUGCAAGUCGAACGGCAGCACAGUAAGAGUUUGCUUUUACGGGUGGCGAGUGGCGGACGGGUGAGGAAUACAUCGGAAUCUACUUUGUCGGGGGGGAUAACGUAGGGAAACUGACGCUAAUACCGCAUAUGACCUACGGGUGAAAUCAGGAGAUCUUCGCACCUUGCGCGUUUGAAUGAGCCGAUGUCGGAUUAGCUAGUUGGGGGGGUAAAGGCCCACCAAGGCGACGAUCCGUAGCUGGUCUGAGAGGAUGAUCAGCCACACUGGAACUGAGACACGGUCCAGACUCCUACGGGAGGCAGCAGUGGGGAAUAUUGGACAAUGGGCGCAAGCCUGAUGCAGCCAUACCGCGUGGGUGAAGAAGGUCUUCGGGUUGUAAAGCCCUUUUGUUGGGAAAGAAAAGAAGCAGGUUAAUCCCCCGAUGUUCUGACGGUACCCAAAGAAUAAGCACCGGCUAACUUCGUG